rnacentral:rRNA from 1 species
AUAAUCCUACGGGGGGCAGCAGUGGGGGAUAUUGCACAAUGGGGGAAACCCUGAUGCAGCGACGCCGCGUGGGCGAAGAAGUAUUUCGGUAUGUAAAGCCCUAUCAGCAGGGAAGAAGAAAUGACGGUACCUGACUAAGAAGCCCCGGCUAACUACGUGCCAGCAGCCGCGGUAAUACGUAGGGGGCAAGCGUUAUCCGGAUUUACUGGGUGUAAAGGGGGCGCAGACGGCAGCGCAAGCCAGGAGUGAAAGCCCGGGGCCCAACCCCGGGACUGCUCUUGGAACUGCGCGGCUGGAGUGCAGGG